rnacentral:rRNA from 1 species
AGCAGCCGCGGUAAUUCCAGCUCCAAUAGCGUAUAUUAAAGUUGUUGCAGUUAAAAAGCUCGUAGUUGAAUUUCGGGGUCAGUAGAUUGGUCGUGCCACUGGUAUGUACUGGUCUCACUGGCUCCUCCUUCCUGAUGAACCGUAAUGCCAUUAAUUUGGUGUUGCGGGGAGACUGGACUGUUACUUUGAAAAAAUUAGAGUGUUUAAAGCAGGCUAACGCUUGAAUACAUUAGCAUGGAAUAAUGAAAUAGGACGUUCGAUCUUAUUUUGUUGGUUUCUAAGAUUGACGUAAUGAUUAAUAGGGAUAGUCGGGGGCAUUAGUAUUCAAUUGUCAGAGGUGAAAUUCUUGGAUUUAU